GGAAGGGGUGAUUUUAUUAAAUAAAAAACCCAUGCCCUUCGGGGCUUUUUGGUGAUUCAUGAUAACUUUACGGAUCGCAUAACCUUGCGCUGGCGACGGUUCAUUCAAAUUUCUGCCCUAUCAACUUUCGAUGGUAAGGUAUUGGCUUACCAUGGUUUCAACGGGUAACGGGGAAUUAGGGUUCGAUUCCGGAGAGGGAGCCUGAGAAACGGCUACCCAUCCAAGGAAGCAGCAGGCGCGCAAAUUACCCAAUCCCGACACGGGGAGGUAGUGACAAUAAAUACUGAUACAGGGCUCUUUUGGGUCUUGUAAUUGGAAUGAGUACAAUUUAAACCUCUUAACGAGGAACAAUGGAGGGCAAGUCUGGUGCCAGCACCGCGGUAAUUCCAGCUCCAAUACGUAUAUUAAAGUUGUUGCAGUUAAAAAGCUCGUAGUUGAAACUUGGGCCUGGGCUGGCGGGUCCGCCUCACCGCGUGCACUCGUCCGG
rnacentral:rRNA from 1 species